rnacentral:rRNA from 1 species
GACGAACGCUGGCGGCGUGCUUAACACAUGCAAGUCGAACGAUGAAGCCGGAGCUUGCUCUGGUGAAUUAGUGGCGAACGGGUGAGUAACACGUGAGUAACCUGCCCUUGACUCUGGGAUAACUGCGGGAAACUGUAGCUAAUACCGGAUACGACCCUCGGAGGCAUCUCCUGGGGGUGGAAAGAAUUUCGGUCAAGGAUGGACUCGCGGCCUAUCAGCUAGUUGGUGAGGUAAAGGCUCACCAAGGCGACGACGGGUAGCCGGCCGGAGAGGGUGACCGGCUACACUGGGACUGCGACACGGCCCAGACUCCUACGGGAGGCAGCAGUGGGGAAUAUUGCACAAUGGGCGCAAGCCUGAUGCAGCAACGCCGCGUGAGGGAUGACGGCCUUCGGGUUGUAAACCUCUUUUAGCAGGGAAGAAGCGAAAGUGACGGUACCUGCAGAAAAAGCACCGGCUAACUACGUGCCAGCAGCAGCCGCCG